UGAUGUUCCUUUUUCUAAAUGGUAGGAAAUCAGUACUUACCAAGUGCUGGCCCAGAAUUUAUUUGACUUUAAUUUCCCUUUAUGACCCCGUCUGCUAAUCUCUAUUGCACAGAUAAAGAGAGAUGAGGUUAGGUACUUUUGUGAUGUCUUCUUGGCCGGGUGUUUGUGGCAGUCAGAGCGGUUUUCAGCUGGAGCAGAAGGCUCAGAGACGUGCCCGUGUUGUUUAAUGCCUGCCUGGGAGAUGCAGGAGGCACAGCCUCCCUCUCUAGAAAUGCCAGCAUGAUGGGUGGCAAAGAUGCUGCUGAGCUGCUGGUUUAAUUUGCCUUUUAGAGGCGUUUUAGGGAAGGCAUCUGGUUGCAAUCGUGCUGCCCCUUUGAAAGGCCGUUCUCAUUUGUCUGCAACUUCUUUGAAAGUACAGCAGAGCUCUGACUGGCAUAUGGUUGUCAGCCAAGAGAAAACUGUGCGUCUAGGAAGCAGAUCAAUGUUGACAUUGUGAAGGUACCUCUGGAAAGAAUUAAUCAAGUCUGAUCUUUGCAUACCCUCUCAGUAUGGAUUUUCAUUAGACGUGGUGCUGUCUCCACACAGAGAGUCCAAGGUGCUCUCCUCAAGGUCAGCCACUGAAGGGGAUGAAGGCUGGAGAGUCUCUGGGUUCUGGGGGCACAGGAUAAUGUCCUCGAAAUCUCUUGUCCUUGCUGCCAGUGCUGGCUGCACACAUCCAACACACCCCACUGCAAAGGCAAAGCACAGAGCCAGGAGCAGAACUUGUGGUCCCAAAGGCUCUGUCAAACACA